CCUACGGGAGGCAGCAGUGGGGAAUAUUGGACAAUGGGCGAAAGCCUGAUCCAGCCAUGCCGCGUGUGUGAAGAAGGCCUUCGGGUUGUAAAGCACUUUCAGUGGGGAAGAAAGCCUUGGGGCUAAUACCCUCGAGGAAGGACAUCACCCACAGAAGAAGCACCGGCUAACUCCGUGCCAGCAGCCGCGGUAAUACGGAGGGUGCGAGCGUUAAUCGGAAUUACUGGGCGUAAAGCGCGCGUAGGCGGUCUGAUAAGCCGGUUGUGAAAGCCCCGGGCUCAACCUGGGAACGGCAUCCGGAACUGUCAGGCUAGAGUGCAUGAGAGGAAGGUAGAAUUCCCGGUGUAGCGGUGAAAUGCGUAGAGAUCGGGAGGAAUACCAGUGGCGAAGGCGGCCUUCUGGACUGACACUGACGCUGAGGUGCGAAAGCGUGGGUAGCAAACAGGAUUAGAUACCCGGGUAGUC
rnacentral:rRNA from 1 species